GACGAACGCUGGCGGCGUGCUUAACACAUGCAAGUCGAACGGAAAGGCCCUGCUUUUGUGGGGUGCUCGAGUGGCGAACGGGUGAGUAACACGUGAGUAACCUGCCCUUGACUUUGGGAUAACUUCAGGAAACUGGGGCUAAUACCGGAUAGGAGCUCCUGCUGCAUGGUGGGGGUUGGAAAGUUUCGGCGGUUGGGGAUGGACUCGCGGCUUAUCAGCUUGUUGGUGGGGUAGUGGCUCACCAAGGCUUUGACGGGUAGUCGGCCUGAGAGGGUGACCGGCCACAUUGGGACUGAGAUACGGCCCAGACUCCUACGGGAGGCAGCAGUGGGGAAUAUUGCACAAUGGGCGGAAGCCUGAUGCAGCAACGCCGCGUGCGGGAUGACAGCCUUCGGGUUGUAAACCGCUUUCGCCUGUGACGAAGCGUGAGUGACGGUAAUGGGUAAAGAAGCACCGGCUAACUACGUG
rnacentral:rRNA from 1 species